CUUCGUUUAGCGAUUAAUAAACGUUGGGACUUCGAUAUUGUUGGACGUUCGCUUCAGAGUUCUGUGUUCCAGAAAUUUCUGAGGACCCGUGGAUGUAAUUACUCUCGAAAAUUCGUCCUGUUUCGUCCAGUUAAAGUUUCAUAUUGUUCAAUCUUGGGAUUAUUGAUCGUAACUUUUUUUACAAAUACUAUCUGAUCAACUGUUUUCCAAAAUGUCCUUGUUCGGAUCACUGAUGGGUGAUCUUGAUGAUGAUCCUAUUUUUGGGUCUCACAUGCAAUCAAUGAGACAAAUGUACUCAUUGUUUAAUGAUCCAUUUGGCAUGAUGGGUCAUCCCUGUCAUAAUGCCAUCGCAGACGGUAAUCAUAGAAGCAGGAAUCGUCAAAAUGAUCUUCAAAUGAUGCCUUUUGUAUUUCCACCAAUGCCAUCAUUUAAUAUGGUCAAUUUGUUUGGAGACUUUGAUAACAUGGCAUCAAAUGGAAACUGUCAUUCUUUCACUUCAAGAUCUGUAAUGACUAUGGCUAGUGGUCCUGAUGGACGUCCACAAGUUUAUCAAGAAACUAUGUCUACAACAACUGCACCUGGUGGCGUAAAAGAAACAAAGAAAACUGUUUGUGAUUCUCGUACUGGAGUGAAAAAAAUGGCUAUCGGUCAUCACAUUGGAGAAAGAGCACAUAUUUUGGAGAGAGAGCAAAAUGUUCACAGUGGUGAACAAGAAGAACGUCAAGAAUUCAUUAAUCUUGAUGAAGAAGAAGCAGAGAGUUUUAAUAAUGAAUGGGAAACGCGCACUCGCCGCGGAGUCGGUGCUGUAGGCAAUUCUCAUUAUGGUAAUCAUCAUGGUCAUAGAAACCGCACUGAUCAUAGGCAAUUGGCUUUACCUGAUCCAUCAGGAAGUACUUUCACCACACAACAUUGAAGUAAAGCUAUCAUAUAAUUUAUGUAUUAUUAUUUAUUAACUGAUGUGUACAUCAGUACAAUAAGGAUAGUUUAAGGACAAUAAAUCGUGACAUAUUUUUCAACUUUAAAUCUAGAUUAUAGUAUCUUAUAGCAAUGUAAAACCGUCAAAAUUAUAAGUACAAUAAAUAAAACAAAUAUGUCAUUAAAUCACGUAAUAUUGCACUUGAUGUCUCUUUCAUUCAAUGUAUAAACAUAAACUGAAUUUCAACUUUAAUCAAUAAUUUGGUGGAACUCGUCGAUAUUCUAAUUCUUCGAGACGGACACCUCUUAGAUGUAGUUUAAAAUCUCCAUCUACAUCUAGAAUGUACAGCCCAACUCAUACUUUAA
rnacentral:misc_RNA from 1 species